UAUGGCGACCGGCGCACGGGUGAGUAACACUAUCCAACCUGCCGAUGACUCGGGGAUAGCCUUUCGAAAGAAAGAUUAAUACCCGAUGGCAUAGUUCUUCCGCAUGGUAGAACUAUUAAAGAAUUUCGGUCAUCGAUGGGGAUGCGUUCCAUUAGGUUGUUGGCGGGGUAACGGCCCACCUAGUCUUCGAUGGAUAGGGGUUCUGAGAGGAAGGUCCCCCACAUUGGAACUGAGACACGGUCCAA
rnacentral:rRNA from 1 species